UCUUAUUAAGAGCGACGGAGGGAAUAGGCCCGAUGAAGUCCAGCAACUUAAAAGUACAUCUUUACUUUUAAAAGUGCCAAAUCCUACAGAUAAUUUAUCUGAAAGAUAAGA
rnacentral:ncRNA from 1 species